rnacentral:rRNA from 1 species
AGUACCCCGAGGAAAAGAAAUCAACCGAGAUUCCCCCAGUAGCGGCGAGCGAACGGGGAGCAGCCCAGAGCCUGAAUCAGUGUGUGUGUUAGUGGAAGCGUCUGGAAAGGCGCGCGAUACAGGGUGACAGCCCCGUACACAAAAAUGCACAUGCUGUGAGCUCGAUGAGUAGGGCGGGACACGUGGUAUCCUGUCUGAAUAUGGGGGGACCAUCCUCCAAGGCUAAAUACUCCUGACUGACCGAUAGUGAACCAGUACCGUGAGGGAAAGGCGAAAAGAACCCCGGCGAGGGGAGUGAAAAAGAACCUGAAACCGUGUACGUACAAGCAGUGGGAGCACGCUUAGGCGUGUGACUGCGUACCUUUUGUAUAAUGGGUCAGCGACUUAUAUUCUGUAGCAAGGUUAACCGAAUAGGGGAGCCGAAGGGAAACCGAGUCUUAACUGGGCGUUAAGUUGCAGGGUAUAGACCCGAAACCCGGUGAUCUAGCCAUGGGCAGGUUGAAGGUUGGGUAACACUAACUGGAGGACCGAACCGACUAAUGUUGAAAAAUUAGCGGAUGACUUGUGGCUGGGGGUGAAAGGCCAAUCAAACCGGGAGAUAGCUGGUUCUCCCCGAAAGCUAUUUAGGUAGCGCCUCGUGAAUUCAUCUCCGGGGGUAGAGCACUGUUUCGGCAAGGGGGUCAUCCCGACUUACCAACCCGAUGCAAACUGCGAAUACCGGAGAAUGUUAUCACGGGAGACACACGGCGGGUGCUAACGUCCGUCGUGAAGAGGGAAACAACCCAGACCGCCAGCUAAGGUCCCAAAGUCAUGGUUAAGUGGGAAACGAUGUGGGAAGGCCCAGACAGCCAGGAUGUUGGCUUAGAAGCAGCCAUCAUUUAAAGAAAGCGUAAUAGCUCACUGGUCGAGUCGGCCUGCGCGGAAGAUGUAACGGGGCUAAACCAUGCACCGAAGCUGCGGCAGCGACGCUUAUGCGUUGUUGGGUAGGGGAGCGUUCUGUAAGCCUGUGAAGGUGUGCUGUGAGGCAUGCUGGAGGUAUCAGAAGUGCGAAUGCUGACAUAAGUAACGAUAAAGCGGGUGAAAAGCCCGCUCGCCGGAAGACCAAGGGUUCCUGUCCAACGUUAAUCGGGGCAGGGUGAGUCGACCCCUAAGGCGAGGCCGAAAGGCGUAGUCGAUGGGAAACAGGUUAAUAUUCCUGUACUUGGUGUUACUGCGAAGGGGGGACGGAGAAGGCUAUGUUGGCCGGGCGACGGUUGUCCCGGUUUAAGCGUGUAGGCUGGUUUUCCAGGCAAAUCCGGAAAAUCAAGGCUGAGGCGUGAUGACGAGGCACUACGGUGCUGAAGCAACAAAUGCCCUGCUUCCAGGAAAAGCCUCUAAGCAUCAGGUAACAUCAAAUCGUACCCCAAACCGACACAGGUGGUCAGGUAGAGAAUACCAAGGCGCUUGAGAGAACUCGGGUGAAGGAACUAGGCAAAAUGGUGCCGUAACUUCGGGAGAAGGCACGCUGAUAUGUAGGUGAAGCGACUUGCUCGUGGAGCUGAAAUCAGUCGAAGAUACCAGCUGGCUGCAACUGUUUAUUAAAAACACAGCACUGUGCAAACACGAAAGUGGACGUAUACGGUGUGACGCCUGCCCGGUGCCGGAAGGUUAAUUGAUGGGGUCAGCGCAAGCGAAGCUCUUGAUCGAAGCCCCGGUAAACGGCGGCCGUAACUAUAACGGUCCUAAGGUAGCGAAAUUCCUUGUCGGGUAAGUUCCGACCUGCACGAAUGGCGUAAUGAUGGCCAGGCUGUCUCCACCCGAGACUCAGUGAAAUUGAACUCGCUGUGAAGAUGCAGUGUACCCGCGGCAAGACGGAAAGACCCCGUGAACCUUUACUAUAGCUUGACACUGAACAUUGAGCCUUGAUGUGUAGGAUAGGUGGGAGGCUUUGAAGUGUGGACGCCAGUCUGCAUGGAGCCGACCUUGAAAUACCACCCUUUAAUGUUUGAUGUUCUAACGUUGACCCGUAAUCCGGGUUGCGGACAGUGUCUGGUGGGUAGUUUGACUGGGGCGGUCUCCUCCUAAAGAGUAACGGAGGAGCACGAAGGUUGGCUAAUCCUGGUCGGACAUCAGGAGGUUAGUGCAAUGGCAUAAGCCAGCUUGACUGCGAGCGUGACGGCGCGAGCAGGUGCGAAAGCAGGUCAUAGUGAUCCGGUGGUUCUGAAUGGAAGGGCCAUCGCUCAACGGAUAAAAGGUACUCCGGGGAUAACAGGCUGAUACCGCCCAAGAGUUCAUAUCGACGGCGGUGUUUGGCACCUCGAUGUCGGCUCAUCACAUCCUGGGGCUGAAGUAGGUCCCAAGGGUAUGGCUGUUCGCCAUUUAAAGUGGUACGCGAGCUGGGUUUAGAACGUCGUGAGACAGUUCGGUCCCUAUCUGCCGUGGGCGCUGGAGAACUGAGGGGGGCUGCUCCUAGUACGAGAGGACCGGAGUGGACGCAUCACUGGUGUUCGGGUUGUCAUGCCAAUGGCACUGCCCGGUAGCUAAAUGCGGAAGAGAUAAGUGCUGAAAGCAUCUAAGCACGAAACUUGCCCCGAGAUGAGUUCUCCCUGACUCCUUGAGAGUCCUGAAGGAACGUUGAAGACGACGACGUUGAUAGGCCGGGUGUGUAAGCGCAGCGAUGCGUUGAGCUAACCGGUACUAAUGAACCGUGAGGCUUAACCUUACAACGCCGAAGCUGUU